GUGGGGAAUUUUGCGCAAUGGGGGAAACCCUGACGCAGCAACGCCGCGUGGGUGAUGAAGGCCCUUGGGUCGUAAAGCCCUGUCGGGUGGGAAGAAUCCCCCGUCGGCGAAUAGUCGGCGGGGAUGACGGUACCACUAAAGGAAGCACCGGCUAACUCUGUGCCAGCAGCCGCGGUAAUACAGAGGGUGCAAGCGUUGUUCGGAAUCACUGGGCGUAAAGCGCGUGUAGGCUGCCGAUUGUGUCGAGUGUGAAAGCCCUCGGCUUAACCGAGGAAGUGCACUCGAAACUGGUCGGCUUGAGUACCGGAGAGGAAGGUGGAAUUCCCGGUGUAGAGGUGAAAUUCGUAGAUAUCGGGAGGAACACCAGUGGCGAAAGCGACCUUCUGGACGGAUACUGACGCUGAGACGCGAAAGCGUGGGGAGCAAACAGGAUUAGAAACCCCAGUAGUCC
rnacentral:rRNA from 1 species